AUUUUGUAGUAGUUGCGAAUGAACACAAACAUGUUCAACCUCAAAAUUGGUGUGCUCCAUGUGUGCACUGACUUGUUUCAAAGUUCAUCACUAUCAAAGCUGCAUGCAAAUGAUUUUUGAAAGGAUACAACAUGGGAUGUGACAUUCAUGUCUGUGUGCUUGCUUUGAUUACAGUGUGUGCUCUAUGAUUCACAUUUCUUGUAACUGAAAUGCAAAUUGCAUGGUAAAGUUCAUGUGAUGUGAUAUGUGUUUGAGAUUCAUGAUGUGCAAGUACCAUGAGGGAAAUGUGAAAAGGACUUUGAAAAGAGAAUUAAACAAAGCCUGCAUUUGCUGAUUGUAAACGUAAGUGAGGAUUGUAAUAGUAAUGUCUCUGCAUCAGUUGACAUGUCUUACGUGUUGUUGUAUGCUUGGCAUUAUGUUCAGCACCACUGAGUGUGCGUACUGGCUUUGAUUGAACUGAUUUCAUGUGGAACUGUUGAAUGAAGAUGCAUGUACACUUGUGUGAAGUAAUGUACGCACCAACUGUGAUCAUGCACUGUUUGCACAUGUUUUCAUGUGCUUCCUUGCUAAUUCUUGAUGUCACUUGGCAUAUUAUAACUACCCUCACUUGACCCGUCUG
rnacentral:rRNA from 1 species